ensembl:lncRNA
GGUUAUCUGGAAGAGAAGUGGAGAGAUCCAGUGUUAAUGAAAGUGAUUGGUGGGUGAGCCGGAACCAGCGAAAAAGGAGUCUGGUGCCUUGUCGUGGCUGUGACGUUCCCUCUGGCCGUCUGCUGCAUCGGUGCCCCCAACGUCCAGGAACUAAUCCCCGGUCCUAUGUGGUUUUGACCCUAAUUCACUGUGAGUGUGUGGAGUGCAGUGGGCGAGUCCUUUUCUUUGCUGUGUGUAUACUUGAAGUCUGCAGUGUCGUGCUGUGUCAUGUUGUCAGUAAUCACCCUCUAGGCUGGGAGAGAAAACCCUGUGGAGAAGAACGUGCACCGGUGUUGUGAGACGACCGUCUUUUAUAUACAUGCCCGCUCGCGGCUUUGGACCCCUACUCCGUCGAGUGGCGACGUGUCAACAAUAGCAAUACUUUCAGAGGUUCGCCCCUGUCUAGAUCUCUGGUCCGUUGUUUGGAAGAGAGGAGAGGGAAGCGUUCGAGUCAUUCCUGAGGUACAUACCCGGUGGCACAAACCUACCUGAAGUCACCCAGUGUGGUGGCACCAGCUGAGGCCGUGGAAGGCCCAACGUGCAGCAACUUCAAUCUGUACUUCUAUCCACUCUUGGUCAAAUUCGAGAGGUGGUGUGUCUUUCUCCAUAUAUUCACUGAAGCUAAGUAAAUUUGUGAAGGAACUCUGUCUGUCUGUUACCAGUCCUACAGGUCUGCGCUUGAGGCUCUGAGUCGUCGUGGGAGUGUUUCCACGGUUGGAGGUGACCGUGUUGAGUGUCGGUCUGGGAAGUCUGCCCCGGUGAAGAAGACCACAGUUGUCGUGACAUAUACACCUUCUCUAGACUCCCGAGCUGAAAAGGGCUAAAGCCUGACGUCCACCUCUUCGAGGGGACUGGAAGGGCCCCACUGACGGUUCUCCUGCAGGAGAAACACAAAGGCACUACUGAGGAAAAACCCUGUUGAGUCACGUGAAGGAAAGGACACAAAUUACCUACAGGUUUAUCUGAGAGUCCCCGUGACAGAGUCAGAAGCGACUCGGACCUAUACUCUCUGGCCCCGAGAGUGGAUUUUAGAUUCCCUUUUCCCUUCCCUGCACACCUUUUAAAUAAUUUAAAUAAAGUCUGUUUUAAUUACACUCCCUCUCUCUCGCGUGUCUGGUCAUUGGGGUGUUCUUGGGACCUCCUCGAGGUGGAAACUAGGGAGGGGCGAGACUCACAACAUCUGUGGUCCGCUCCGAUCUGUGAC